CAGGCUUUAUUGUUCUGUCUCUGGGACCUAGCAGGUGACCCUGGGCAAGUUACUUCUCAUUUGUCCGGCAAGGACGCUAAACUCUGCCUUGCUGGGUCAGGGUCAUGGAGGGGAUGAAAUGUGAUAACACGAGGAAGCAGCCUGGGCUUCAGAGGCAGUAGAUCCUGGUCUGGUCCCAGCUCAGUGUGUGGGAACCUUGGUCACCGAACGUCCCUGAGUGAAUUUUUUUCCAUCACUUUAAAGUUGGGGGUAUUAUUGAUAGCAGUCCAAACCCCACAGGAGUACCCUGAGGACAGAGUGAGACGAGGUUUAGAGAAGUGCUUACUAUGGCAUCUGGCACAAGGAGGACUCCUGAUCAAUCUAAUACUCAUUUAUCAUUGUGGUUAACCUGUUUAAGGGACUCCGCAUGCAGAUGAGGCUUGGGAUGUGUUUGUUUUCUACCUUUUUGCAACCUCUUUUAUUGGUCUGUGUCGGUUUUCCCCUCCCAAAGCUGGGGGCAGGGUUGGGCUUUAUAAAACUUGAGCCCCUCUGGGGACUGGGUUCUCAGCAAGUUACCGCUCCUGCCAUCAUGCCACCCUGAUGGAUGUCCAAGCCUCACUUCCCUCCUGCACUCCCCGCUCCCGCCGCCGUCCCUGGGAUUAAGGGAGAGGAGAAUGGCUGCUUGUUACUGCCUACCUACUCUGUGCCAGGUUCUAUGCUCUGUGUUAUUUAUCAUCUCGAUAACCCCAUGGGGAAGGUAAGUGGUAUUAUCACCCCUGUUUCACAGGUGAGAAAACUGAGGCCUGUGGCGGUUAAUUAUUACUGUUAGUGCGUGGCAGGCUCAAGAUUUGAAACCAGGUCUGUCCUGAAUCCACAUCCUUCCCCUGACCUCGACACAAGUACAUUCUUGUCAUUCCUUUCACUCCAGGAUUGGAGUCUCUCCCUCAUUAUGCUGGGCUGGGAAGAAGCAAAUGGCUUAGUGGUCAGCAGUGUGGAUUUGCAAAUCAGACCACCUGGGUUCAGAUCUUAGGUCUGACAGCUGUGUUACCCUGGGCAAGUCCUCACCUUUCUGUGCCUGUCCCCUCUUUGCUGUAAAAUGGGGGUACUAAUACUUAAGUCUUCCCUUCCCCCACAGUUGCUACUAACAAACAGAAAAACGGUACCCAUGUGCUCCAGGGUCACCUCUGACCUUCUUUUUUUCCUCCAGAUGUCCAGCUCGCCGCUGUCCAAGAAACGUCGCGUGUCCGGGCCUGAUCCAAAGCCGGGUUCUAACUGCUCCCCUGCCCAGUCCGUGUUGUCCGAAGUGCCCUCGGUGCCAACCAACGGAAUGGCCAAGAACGGCAGUGAAGCAGACAUAGACGAGGGCCUUUACUCCCGGCAGCUGUAAGUG
rnacentral:lncRNA from 1 species